rnacentral:rRNA from 1 species
GAUGAACGCUGGCUACAGGCUUAACACAUGCAAGUCGAGGGGAAACGACGGGGAAGCUUGCUUCCCCGGGCGUCGACCGGCGCACGGGUGAGUAACGCGUAUCCAACCUGCCUCUGACUGAGGGAUAACCCGUCGAAAGUCGGCCUAAUACCUCAUGGUAUCGUCUGCGGGCAUCCAACGACGAUUAAAGAUUUCAUCGGUCAGGGAUGGGGAUGCGUCUGAUUAGCUUGUUGGCGGGGUAACGGCCCACCAAGGCUACGAUCAGUAGGGGUUCUGAGAGGAAGGUCCCCCAGAUUGGAACUGAGACACGGUCCAAACUCCUACGGGAGGCAGCAGUGAGGAAUAUUGGUCAAUGGGCGAGAGCCUGAACCAGCCAAGUAGCGUGCAGGAAGACGGCCCUAUGGGUUGUAAACUGCUUUUAUGAGGGGAUAAAGUGAGGGACGUGUCCCUCAUUGCAGGUACCGCAUGAAUAAGGACCGGCUAAUUCCGUG